AAGGGAGAGGAAUAAGUAGAAAUCUACCCUCGGAUCGGGGAUAGCGGCGGGAAACUACCGGUAAUACCCGAUAACGUCUUUGGACCAAAGGUGUGAUUCCGUCUGAGGAUGAGUCUACUUCCUAUUAGCUAGUUGGCGGGGUAAUGGCCCACCAAGGCAACGAUGGGUAGCAGGUGUGAGAGCAUGACCUGCCUCAUUGGGACUGAGACACUGCCCAGACACCUACGGGUGGCUGCAGUCGAGAAUCUUCGGCAAUGGACGAAAGUCUGACCGAGCGACGCCGCGUGCGGGAUGAAGGCCUUCGGGUUGUAAACCGCUGUCGUAGGGGAACAAAUGUAUGAGGGUUCUCCCUUGUACUUGAGUGAUCCUAGGAGGAAGGAGAGGCUAAGCUCGUGCCAGCAGCCGCGGUAAGACGAGCUCUCCAAACGUUAUUCGGUAUCACUGGGCUUAAAGAGUUCGUAGGCGGUCUGGUAGGUGAGGUGUGAAAUCCCCCGGCUCAACCGGGGAACUGCGCUUCAAACCGCCGGACUUGAGGGAGACAGAGGUGGGCGGAACAGAUGGUGGAGCGGUGAAAUGCGUUGA
rnacentral:rRNA from 1 species